GUCUAUGGCCAUGCCACCCUGAACAAGCCCGAUGUCUGAUCUCAGAAGCUAAGCAGGAUCAGGCCUGGUUAAUACUUGGAUGGGAGACCACCUAAGAAGACUAGGUGCUGUAGGCA
rnacentral:rRNA from 1 species